AACGAACGCUGGCGGCAGGCUUAACACAUGCAAGUCGAACGCCCCGCAAGGGGAGUGGCAGACGGGUGAGUAACACGUGGGAACGUGCCCUAAGGUUUGGAAUAUUCCCGGGAAACUGGGAGCAAUACCAAAUGUGUCCGCAAGGAGAAAGAUUUAUCGCCUUAAGAUCGGCCCGCGUCAGAUUUGGUAGUUGGUGGGGUAAAAGCCUACCAAGCCGGCCAUCUGUAACUGGUCUGAGAGGACGACCAGCCACACUGGGGAUGAGACACGGCCCAGACUCCGACGGGAGGCAGCAGUGGGGAAUCUUGGACAAUGGGCGAAAGCCUGAUCCAGCCAUGCCGCGUGGAUGAUGAAGGCCCUAGGGUUGUAAAAUCCUUUCGUUGGGGACGAUAAUGACGGUACCCAAAGAAGAAGCUCCGGCUAACUUCGUGCCAGCCGCCGCGGUAA
rnacentral:rRNA from 1 species